rnacentral:rRNA from 1 species
UUGAAUUUUUGUUAUUAUUUACUGAAAUAUCUUAUUGUUGUUGUAAUUAUUAUUGAUUUAAUUUUUGUUUUUAUAGAUUUAUUGUAAUGUAGGGGAUUAUUUAUGUUAUUUUUUAAGUUGAUUUAUUUUAUUGUACCUUAUGUAUCAGGGUUUAUUGAAUUUUUAAUUUAUUUUGGAUUCCCGAUUUUGAAUGAGUUAAUAAUUAAUUUUAGGUAUUGUUUUAUUAACAUUAAUAAUGAAUUAUUGGUAAUGAGAUGUUAAUCGUUUUUUAUGAUAUCUGGUUUUUCAAGAAAUGAAUUCAAUUCAUAUUUUUCAUUUAAUUUUUCUUUAUUAUUAGUCUAUUUUUAUUAAUUAUUUAUUUGUUGGGGGAUUAGCUCUAAUAGAUACUUUUAUAAAAUUUAAGAUUAAUUGCUGUGGGUUUUAUAUUAACUUUCAGUUUAAUUAUGUUAAAAUUUUAAUUUAUUUUAUUUAGAUUUUUAUUAUUUUUAUUUUUUUUAUUGAAAUGUUUAAUGGAAUUUUUUAUUUACUGUAAUUAUAAUUUAAUUAGUAUAUGUGAAUAUUUAUUAUAUUAAUUUUUUGCUAUUUUCUUUUGAGGAACUAGGCAAUUUUAAUUUGCCUGCCUGUAUACCAAAAACAUCGCAUCUUGUAUAUAUUUUGAUGUAGUAUCUGCCCACUGAAUUUUAAAUGGCCGCAGUAUUUUGACUGUGCAAAGGUAGCAUAAUCAUUAGUUUUUUAAUUGAAGACUGGAAUGAAUGAUUUGACAAGGUAUUUACUGUCUUAAAUUUUUAUUUUUUUUGAACUUAAAUUUUAGGUUAAAAUGCCUAAAUAUUUUUUUGGGACGAGAAGACCCUAUAGAGUUUGAUUUAAUUUAUAUUUUUUGUGGGUUAAUAAUUUAAUAUUAUGUAAAUUUUGUUGGGGUGAUGGGAAGAUUAAUAUAACUCUUUUUAUUUUUAUAUAUUUAUUUAUAUAUUUUUGAUCCAUUUUUAGUGACUAUAAGACUAAAUUACCUUAGGGAUAACAGCGUAAUUCUUUUUGAGAGUUCUUAUCGAUAUAAGAUUUUACGACCUCGAUGUUGGAUUAAGAUGAAUUUUUGGUGUAGGUGCUAAAUUUGAUUAGGUCUGUUCGACCUUUAAAAUCUUACAUGAUCUGAGUUCAAACCGGUGUAAGCCAGGUUGGUUUCUAUCUAUAAUAAUUUUUAAUAUUUUAGUACGAAAGGACCAUAUAUU